AUUGAACGCUGGCGGCAUGCCUUACACAUGCAAGUCGAACGGUAACAGGUCUUCGGAUGCUGACGAGUGGCGAACGGGUGCGUAAUACAUCGGAACGUGCCCAGACGUGGGGGAUAACGAGGCGAAAGCUUUGCUAAUACCGCAUACGAUCUAAGGAUGAAAGCAGGGGACCGCAAGGCCUUGCGCGUUUGGAGCGGCAGAUGGCAGAUUAGGUAGUUGGUGGGAUAAAAGCUUACCAAGCCGACGAUCUGUAGCUGGUGUGAGAGGACGACCAGCCACACUGGGACUGAGACACGGCCCAGACUCCUACGGGAGGCAGCAGUGGGGAAUUUUGGACAAUGGGCGAAAGCCUGAUCCAGCAAUGCCGCGUGCAGGAUGAAGGCCUUCGGGUUGUAAACUGCUUUUGUACGGAACGAAAAGGCUCUGGCUAAUACCUGGGGCACAUGACGGUACCGUAAGAAUAAGCACCGGCUAACUACGUG
rnacentral:rRNA from 1 species